rnacentral:rRNA from 1 species
GAUGAACGCUGGCGGCGUGCUUAACAUAUGCAAGUCUAGCGAAUCGCUUAAGAAUGAUUCUUCGGAUGAAUUCUUUUGCGACUGAGCGGCGUGCGGGUGAGUAUCACGUGGAUAACCUGCCUCAUACAGGGGGUCAACAGUUAGAAAUGACUGCUAAUAUCGCAGAAGCGCACAGUGCUGCAUGGCAUCCGGUCAAAAACUCCGGUGGUAGGGGCUGGAUCGGCGUUGGUUUAGGCAGUGGGCGGGGUAACGGCCCACCAAACCGUCGAUCCAUAACCGGCCUGAGAGGGUGGACGGCCACAUUGGGACUGGGACACGGCCCAAACUCCUACGGGAGGCAGCAGUGGGGAAUAUUGCACAAUGGGGGAAACCCUGAUGCAGCGACGCCGCGUGAGUGAAGAAGUAAUUCGUUAUGUAAAGCUCUAUCAGCAGGGAAGAAAAUGACGGUACCUGACUAAGAAGCCCCGGCUAACUACGUGCCAGCCGCCGCGGUAA